GAUGAACGCUGGCGGCGUGCCUAAUACAUGCAAGUCGAGCGAACGGACGAGAAGCUUGCUUCUCUGAUGUUAGCGGCGGACGGGUGAGUAACACGUGGAUAACCUACCUAUAAGACUGGGAUAACUUCGGGAAACCGGAGCUAAUACCGGAUGAUAUUUUGAACCGCAUGGUUCAAAAGUGAAAGACGGUCUUGCUGUCACUUAUAGAUGGAUCCGCGCUGCAUUAGCUAGUUGGUAAGGUAACGGCUUACCAAGGCAACGAUGCAUAGCCGACCCGAGAGGGUGGUCGGCCACACGGGAACUGAGAAACGGUCCAGACUCCUACAGGAGGCAGCGGUAGGGAAUCUUCCGCAAUGGGCGAAAGCCUGACGGAGCAACGCCGCGUAAAUGAUGAAGGUCUUCGGAUCGUAAAACUCUGUUAUUAGGGAAGAACAUAUGUGUAAGUAACUGUGCACAUCUUGACGGUACCUAAUCAGAAAGCCACGGCUAACUACGUG
rnacentral:rRNA from 1 species